rnacentral:rRNA from 1 species
UACGUAGGGGGCAAGCGUUGUCCGGAAUCAUUGGGCGUAAAGCGCGUGUAGGCGGCUCGGUAAGUCUGCUGUGAAAGUCCAGGGCUCAACCCUGGGAUGCCGGUGGAUACUGUCGAGCUCGAGUCCGGAAGAGGCGAGUGGAAUUCCUGGUGGUAGCGGUGAAAUGCGCAGAUAUCAGGAGGAACACCAAUGGCGAAGGCAGCUCGCUGGGACGUGACUGACGCUGAGACGCGAAAGCGUGGGGAGCAAACAGG